rnacentral:rRNA from 1 species
AAAUUGAAGAGUUUGAUCAUGGCUCAGAUUGAACGCUGGCGGCAGGCUUAACACAUGCAAGUCGAACGGUAGCAGGAAGGAAGCUUGCUUUCUUUGCUGACGAGUGGCGGACGGGUGAGUAAUGCUUGGGGAUCUGGCUUAUGGAGGGGGAUAACGACGGGAAACUGUCGCUAAUACCGCGUAAUGUCUAAGGACUAGAGGGUGGGACUUUCGGGCCACCUGCCAUAAGAUGAGCCCAAGUGGGAUUAGGUAGUUGGUGGGGUAAAGGCCUACCAAGCCGACGAUCUCUAGCUGGUCUGAGAGGAUGACCAGCCACACUGGAACUGAGACACGGUCCAGACUCCUACGGGAGGCAGCAGUGGGGAAUAUUGCACAAUGGGGGGAACCCUGAUGCAGCCAUGCCGCGUGAAUGAAGAAGGCCUUCGGGUUGUAAAGUUCUUUCGGUGAUGAGGAAGGGUGAUGUUUUAAUAGAACAUUACAUUGACGUUAGUCACAGAAGAAGCACCGGCUAACUCCGUGCCAGCAGCCGCGGUAAUACGGAGGGUGCGAGCGUUAAUCGGAAUGACUGGGCGUAAAGGGCACGCAGGCGGUGACUUAAGUGAGAUGUGAAAGCCCCGAGCUUAACUUGGGAAUUGCAUUUCAUACUGGGU